ACGUUUCACCCUCGGGUGACAGGGAGACAGGUGGUGCAUGGUUGUCGUCAGCUCGUGUCGUGAGAUGUUGGGUUAAGUCCCGCAACGAGCGCAACCCCUACGUUUAGUUGCUAACGCGUGAAGGCGAGCACUCUAGACGAACUGCCGUUGACAAAACGGAGGAAGGUGGGGAUGACGUCAAAUCAUCAUGCCCCUUAUGUUCUGGGCUACACACGUGCUACAAUGGCCGGUACAGACGGACGCAAAGCCGCGAGGUGGAGCAAAUCCUAAAAAGCCGGUCUCAGUUCGGAUUGCAGGCUGCAAUUCGCCUGCAUGAAGUCGGAAUCGCUAGUAAUCGCAGGUCAGCAUACUGCGGUGAAUACGUUCCCGGGCCUU
rnacentral:rRNA from 1 species